rnacentral:lncRNA from 1 species
UCAUAUUGUCAUGGUGUAACAUGCCAGGAGUGGGCAAAUAAUGUCUCCCACUCUCUCUUCAGCUCCUACCCACAAGAUCCCCUGGCCUUCUGCUCCACAAGGCCCAAGUGGAGGAACUGGGGCAGAGGUCACAGGGCUUCAGCCAGGAACUGCAGCCUGUGUGUCUCCACCCUUGUGGCUUCUCCUUUGCUGUCUGUGGUGGUUACUGGUAUUUGUAGAAAGAAGCAAAGGCCCUUGUUCUUCUAGCUAGAGAGAGCAGCUGACUCAGAACCAGUAUAAGAAUCAGGCCAGGGCUUGUUGGUAGGAGUAGGAAAACCCCAGUCAGGACUCACUUGGUUUUUGAGCAAGGGCAAACACUGCCCCCUUGGCAAGUAGCAGUUUUAGGAUCUCAAGAGAGAGCCACUGUAGAAAGACAGGAGCAUCUGUAUCAAAGACAAGACAAGGGAUGGGGUUGGAUCAGGUGUCAAGUGUUAGGGCUGACUUACACUGGAGCAGACUUGGGGAGAUAGGGUGCCCUUCAAGGACAGGGCAGAGAAAAGCCACAUUGAGGUGGAAGUUCCGGGCAGAAUGAUUACUCAAGUGGGUACUAAUACGUCCUGAGAGAGCUGGCCGAUAGCAAACAUGGCUGUGGCUAAAUUUUACUGAGUGAGUUUUGAAACCCAGUAACGAUGCCCAGCUUAGAUUCUAGAUGGGUCUCUAGCUGUUGUGCUGCGUUUCACCUGAAGCAGCAGCAGGGUGGGAGAGGAUCAGUUGGGGCCACGGCCACAGUCUGCUGGAGGGGAGAAGGAAACUGGACCUAAAGUGGCUAGAAUCAGAUGGUGGAUGACAAGAAUUCUGAUGGGCUGCGUGCAGAGUUAGAGAAAAGUUCCUAUAUAGGACCACAAAGCAUCUUUGGGGAGGACAGAGGAGGCAUCUGCAAAUGGCAGGGUGGAGGAUGAGACCCAGUGGUCUGGUGACUGAGCCCACAGGCUCCCUGGCCUCAAUAUCACAGGGUCUCUGUGCUCAUCUAUUGAAUGGAGAUAACAGGACUCACCUAUGGUAGCUGCAAGAAGUAACCACACGCUGAGUAACUUAUAACGACAGGUCUUAGCCAGGUGUGGUAACGCAAGCUGAGGCAGGUGGAUUGCCAAGUUUAAGACCAGCCUGAGCUACAGACCUUGCCUCAAGGAGAAAUAAACAAAAUAGGCAAAAAAUACAGAUUUAGUCUAUUAUAGUUCUGGGGCCCACUGCCAAUAGAUUCCUCUCUUCAAACCUUUUAUUUCUAAUGAGGACUUCACAGGUAUCACUAAGCCACAUGUCUGGGUAUUACAGCAUGGAUCCUAAUGCAUGAUUGUUUCUCCUUGGGGGCCUUAACUGUGUCAUGUCUGCAAAUAAGGCUACCGUCUUGAACAUUGGCUGUCAGAACUUGCAAUAACCCCACAAGGUCACAUAUCUUCCUGUUCUUCCUGCUGUGAGGAUUUAAUAUAAGAUCCCUAAGAUAGGGACAUGCUCAAAGCAAGAGCCCAAGAAGUGGUGUCCCUGGCUUCCCUCCCCCACCUGUUUUUCCUAUACUGCCACCAAUAGGAAUGCAUGACUUCUGCCCCUUUGGUCUAGCCUGCAGGACUUGGGCAUCCUCACAGCCAGUGAGGAUUGUCACUCUUGCCUACUUAGUAACCACCUGGCCAGCAGGAGCAGGAGUCACACAAAUACAGGAUCAUGCGGCCCCUCCUUCCCUGGGAGACUAUCCAGACAGGCACAUGGGUGCUGUAAUACCCGGACACGUUGCUUAGUGAUACCUGUGUAAUGAACAGGCUCACAGGAUCCCUUUGUUCAUGCAGGCAGGCAGUGGCCAAGGGCACAGUUUUGAGAAUCAGAUAGCAUAUGGGUAAAUUGUUUUCUUCAUCUGUGCCUCAGUUUCCUCCUGUAACAGUGUCUGUGGACCCUUUCCUAGAGUUACCAGAGCCUGCUGGGAUAUGUGUUAGGGCUCUUGAUCAUUAUGGUGAAUCACUGAAGGGCCCAAACUCCAGGAUAGUAGCACCUGGCUUGGAAGAAGUUACUACUUGGCUCCAAGUUGCAGUCGGAGACUUGUGGAUGAGCAUCACCACUUCUGUCCUGGGAUUUGGCCAUGGGAUUCCUGAAAUAAACCUGAGGCCAUUAGUAUUAUAAUAUAAAUACUAAUAUUAUUGCUAUGAACAAACAGAUGCUCCUUCUCAUAAAAGAUACUACCACCUAGGACUCAGAAGAUGGCUUUGUCAGCAAAGUGCUUACUGUAUUCCUGUGAGGAUCUGAUCCCUGGCAUCCAUGUAGAAAUCUGGGCCCAGCAUCACAAGCCUGUCAUCCCAGUCCUGGGGAAAGAGAGACAAGAGGAUCUUUGGGGUUUGCUGACCAGGUAGUCUUGCUGAAUCAGUGAGCUGCAGGUUCUGUGAGAGCCCUUUGUCUCAGGUGGAGGGCAGCUGAGUAAGACACCUGCUGUCACUCUCUGACCUCCAAACACACACACACACACACACACACACACACACACACACACACACACACACCUCCUGUAAAGCCAGAGCUGUCCGUGCUGGCGCUGGAAGGACCAUCUGAGGCUCUGAAUCUUGCCUCCUGGUCACAGAGCACUAAAUGCAGUGACCACUCCUCCCUAUCUGACUCCUGUGAGCAUGGAGCCUCUUAGAAAGACUCAGGGAAGGAGGCAGUUCAGCAGGCACACGAUCAUCACUUUGAAUGGUUGACAUUUGGAAAGAAGGGGGCUUCUUGUCUGUGCCCACCGUGACAGAAAAGUGCUAGCAAUGGAUAAGGACUGGGGCAACCACCUUGGGCUUGUCACAAGAAAAGGGGCCUUCUAUCUGAGCCAGUUAAAAGCUAGAGCUUCAAGUCUGAUACUAUUUGAACCAGUUUUUGUAGAGAUGAUAGUUCUAGAAGCUUAAUUAAAGUGACACUACUGUGGAUAGCUGGGAAAGCAAAGAGAGGGUCCUAAAACAUUUCUUCCAAGUCUCCUCCCUCUCAACAGCCCCAGAGGCUCCUCCCUAGAAUUCCCAGGAACUUCCAGAGUCCAUCCUGAGAACCUAGCCUCCUAGAGAAAUUUGCCCAUCAAGGUCCUGCUAGCUGACCUUGCAGAUGGGGCAACUUGGGCUCCAGUAUUUGCUUGCCUGGCCCAUGGCUGUGACUGAAGGAUGUCUUUCAAGUCAGGGAAAAGAUGAGACAGAGACCACUACAGUUCUGGACCCAGACAAGCCUGUGUCUGAGGGAAGCAAGACAGGGUGCUAUGGACCACCAUCAUCCUUAAUACCUCCAGUUUUGUGGGCCUGGCAAAUCCUUUACAAAAAGAGGGCUCUGUGGCUGUUGUGUUGUUGAAAAUAACCCCAACUGGUUCAUAAUGAGUCCAAUCUCCACCCCCCACCCCCAAUGCUCCCACUGUCCUUUCAAGAAGGCACUGUAAACUCCAACUCAUAAAGGAUGUUACCUAGGGUCUCCAAGUUCACAAUGACAGAUCAGAGGGACUUAAGCCAGAGUGACUACAGAGCCACUUUCCACUUUAUUGAAGAGAUGAGAAAUACCUUAGGAUUUUUAUCACUUUAGAAAUGCCUUGGGAUUUAUAUAUGCUUGGGAUGUAGCUUAGUUGGUUGAGCCUAGCAUGUAUGAAGCCCUGAGUUUGAUUCCCCAGCACUGCGUAAAGCCCAGAAUGCUGAUACAUGUCUGUAAUCCUAGUACAAGGAUGGGAGAGGUGGGAGUGUAGGAAAGUCGACCUUGACUACAGGAGACCCAAUCU